rnacentral:rRNA from 1 species
CUGUACAGUUCAGAGUUUGAUCCUGGCUCAGGACGAACGCUGGCGGCGUGCCUAACACAUGCAAGUCGAGCGGAGCCAUCCGAAUGAUUCCUUCGGGAUGAAUUCGGGGAAGCUUAGCGGCGGACGGGUGAGUAACGCGUGAGUAACCUGCCCAUAAGAGGGGAAUAACACACCGAAAGGUGUGCUAAUACCGCAUGAUGUAUUUUUACCGCAUGAUAGAAAUACCAAAGAUUUUAUCGCUUAUGGAUGGACUCGCGUCUGAUUAGAUAGUUGGUGGGGUAACGGCCUACCAAGUCGACGAUCAGUAGCCGAACUGAGAGGUUGAUCGGCCACAUUGGGACUGAGACACGGCCCAG